AUUGAACGCUGGCGGCAGGCCUAACACAUGCAAGUCGAGCGAGCGGCGGACGGGUGAGUAAUGUAUGGGGACCUGCCCGAUAGAGGGGGAUAACUACUGGAAACGGUGGCUAAUACCGCAUACUAUCGGAUGAUCCCUUGUGGGAUUAGCUAGUAGGUGGGGUAAAGGCUCACCUAGGCGACGAUCCCUAGCUGGUCUGAGAGGAUGAUCAGCCACACUGGGACUGAGACACGGCCCAGACUCCUACGGGAGGCAGCAGUAGGGAAUCUUCCGCAAUGGACGCAAGCCUGACGGAGCAACGCCGCGUGUGUGAAGAAGGUCUUCGGAUCGUAAAGCACUGUUAUCAGAGAAGCGGUAACUGAUCAGAAAGCCACGGCUAACUACGUGCCAGCCGCCGCGGUAAUAC
rnacentral:rRNA from 1 species